rnacentral:rRNA from 1 species
GAUGAACGCUCGCUACAGGCUUAACACAUGCAAGUCGAGGGGAAACGACAUCGAAAGCUUGCUUUUGAUGGGCGUCGACCGGCGCACGGGUGAGUAACGCGUAUCCAACCUGCCCAUCACUUGGGGAUAACCUUGCGAAAGUAAGACUAAUACCCAAUGAUAUCUCUAGAAGACAUCUGAAAGAGAUUAAAGAUUUAUCGGUGAUGGAUGGGGAUGCGUCUGAUUAGCUUGUUGGCGGGGUAACGGCCCACCAAGGCAACGAUCAGUAGGGGUUCUGAGAGGAAGGUCCCCCACAUUGGAACUGAGACACGGUCCAAACUCCUACGGGAGGCAGCAGUGAGGAAUAUUGGUCAAUGGGCGAGAGCCUGAACCAGCCAAGUAGCGUGCAGGAAGACGGCCCUAUGGGUGGUAAACUGCUUUUAUAAGGGAAUAAAGUGAGAGUCGUGACUCUUUUUGUAUGUACCUGAUGAAUAAGGACCGGCUAAUUCCGUG